CCCUCGAGCCUCGGCCCCCGCCCGGCUGUGCGCUCCUCUGAGCUCCCCUCUCUCCCCAGCCAGGAUUUUCUCCCCCUCGCCUCCCUUCCCCUCGCCUCCCCUCCCCUCCCUUCCCCUCCCCUCCCCGCGCCCGCGCGCGCUCUCUCUCUCUCCCAGAGUUCAUUCACAUUAUUGGAGUGAAGGAAGCCGAGGGAAGUGUUCCCCAGGAGGACCGAAGGGAAAGCGCGUCUCCAGCCACCUCUCUUACCCGCCCAGGACAUCCAGCCUCCCCUCCGACGGCCCUGCGGAUUCUUUAAUUUGUGGAGGAGGGCGUGGGUGGGUGUGUCCCUCCUUUCCCCUCUGUGCCUGUUCACCUGGUGAUGAAGGGGGACCCCAACGGGAGCUCCGCAGUUUGCCUUUCUGUUUGCGGACACCCACUGGCAGCUGCACUUGGUCCUGCGGUGAUGAGGGUGUAGACUGUGGAGUCGCAUAAGGACUUGACCGCCGGCACAGGGAGCUGGAGCAAACCCAAGACUGGCUGAGACCAUUCAUCAUGCCUGGUUUCUAUAGCCAAGGCUUGGGGAUGAGGCUCAGAAGAUUCCGGGGCUCGGCUCGGUGUGGAGGCUUAUCUGCAACCCAUCCAGCCUGCUCAGCCUUUAAGAAGAAUGCCUGGAAAUCCGGGUCCUACCAGCC
rnacentral:lncRNA from 1 species